rnacentral:rRNA from 1 species
CAGCAGCCGCGGGAAUACAAAGGGUGCAAGCGUUAAUCGGAAUUACUGGGCGUAAAGCGUGCGUAGGCGGUGAGUUAAGUCUUAUGUGAAAUCUAUGGGCUCAACCCAUAGUCUGCAUGGGAAACUGCGAGGCUUGAGGAUGGGAGAGGUGAGUGGAAUUUCCGGUGUAGCGGUGAAAUGCGUAGAUAUCGGAAGGAACACCUGUGGCGAAAGCGGCUCACUGGACCAUUUCUGACGCUGAUGCACGAAAGCGUGGGGAGCAAACAGGAUUAGAGACCCCCGUAGUCCCUGUCUCUUAUAC